UACGGAGGGUGCAAGCGUUAUUCGGAAUGACUGGGCGUAAAGCGCACGUAGGCGGUUUGCUAAGUCUGAUGUGAAAUCCCUGGACUCAAUCCAGGAAGUGCAUUGGAUACUGGCAGACUAGAGGACAGGAGAGGAGAGCGGAAUUCCAGGUGUAGAGGUGAAAUUCGUAGAUAUCAGGAGGAACACCGGUGGCGAAGGCGGGUCUCUGGGCCGAUACUGACGCUGAGGAGCGAAAGCGUGGGGAGCGAACAGG
rnacentral:rRNA from 1 species